rnacentral:rRNA from 1 species
UACGUAGGUGGCAAGCGUUGUCCGGAUUUACUGGGCGUAAAGAGCGCGCAGGCGGUCGUUCAAGUCGCGUGUGAAAGCCCCCGGCUCAACUGGGGAGGGUCACGCGAUACUGAUCGACUCGAAGGCAGGAGAGGGUAGUGGAAUUCCCGGUGUAGUGGUGAAAUGCGUAGAUAUCAGGAGGAACACCGAUGGCGAAGGCAGGUCACUGGGCCGCAACUGACGCUGAGGAGCGAAAGCAUGGGGAGCGAACAGG